AUUGAACGCUGGCGGCAGGCUUAACACAUGCAAGUCGAACGGGUGGCGGACGGGCGAGUAAUGGAUGGGAACCUAGCUUAUGGAGGGGGAUAACUACGGGAAACUGUAGCUACUACCGCUUACCAUCGGAUGAGCCCACGUGGGAUUAGGUAGUUGGUGAGGUAAAGGCUCACCAAGACGACGAGCCCUAGCUGGGCUGAGAGGAUGACCAGCCACACUGGGACUGAGACACGGCCCAGACUCCUACGGGAGGCAGCAGUGGGGAAUAUUGCGCAAUGGGCGCAAGCUGACGGAGCCAUGCCGCGUGAGUGAAGAAGGUUUUCGGGUGGUAAAGUUCUGUCGGUAGCGAGGCGUUAACUACAGAGGAAGCACCGGCUAACUCCGUGCCAGCAGCCGCGGUAAUUC
rnacentral:rRNA from 1 species